rnacentral:rRNA from 1 species
AGUGUACGCUGGCGGUAGGCCUAACACAUGCAAGUCGAACGGCAGCACAGUAAGAGCUUGCUCUUACGGGUGGCGAGUGGCGGACGGGUGAGGAAUACAUCGGAAUCUACUUUUUCGUGGGGGAUAACGUAGGGAAACUUACGCUAAUACCGCAUACGACCUACGGGUGAAAGCAGGGGAUCUUCGGACCUUGCGCGAUUGAAUGAGCCGAUGUCGGAUUAGCUAGUUGGCGGGGUAAAGGCCCACCAAGGCGACGAUCCGUAGCUGGUCUGAGAGGAUGAGCAGCCACACUGGAACUGAGACACGGUCCAGACUCCUACGGGAGGCAGCAGUGGGGAAUAUUGGACAAUGGGCUCAAGCCUGAUCCAGCCAUACCGCGUGGGUGAAGAAGGCCUUCGGGUUGUAAAGCCCUUUUGUUGGGAAAGAAAAGCAGCAGGUUAAUACCCCGCUGUUCUGACGGUACCCAAAGAAUAAGCACCGGCUAACUUCGUG